rnacentral:rRNA from 1 species
AUUGAACGCUGGCGGCAUGCUUUACACAUGCAAGUCGAACGGUAACAGGCCGCAAGGUGCUGACGAGUGGCGAACGGGUGCGUAAUGCAUCGGAACGUGCCCAGUCGUGGGGGAUAACGCAGCGAAAGCUGCGCUAAUACCGCAUACGACCUAUGGAUGAAAGCGGGGGACCGGAAGGCCUCGCGCGAUUGGACCGGCCGAUGUCAGAUGAGGUAGUUGGUGGGGUAAAGGCUCACCAAGGCAACCAUCUUUAGCUGGUCUGAGAGGACGACCAGCCACACUGGGACUGAGACACGGCCCAGACUCCUACGGGAGGCAGCAGUGGGGAAUUUUGGACAAUGGGCGCAAGCCUGAGCCAGCAAUGCCGCGUGCAGGAAGAAGGCCUUCGGGUUGUAAACUGCUUUUGUACGGAACGAAACGGUCCUGGUUAAUACCCGGGGCUAAUGACGGUACCGUAAGAAUAAGCACCGGCUAACUACGUGCCAGCCGCCGCUGUAACAC